rnacentral:rRNA from 1 species
AAAGUAGCUUGCUACUUUUGCCGGCGAGCGGCGGACGGGUGAGUAAUGCCUGGGGAUCUGCCCAGUCGAGGGGGAUAACAGUUGGAAACGACUGCUAAUACCGCAACCCCCUACGGGGGAAAGGAGGGGACCUUCGGGCCUUUCGCGAUGGGAUGAACCCGGGUGGGAUUAGCUUGUUGGUGGGGUAAUGGCUCACCGGGGCCACUAUCCCUAGCUGGUCUGAGAGGAUGAUCACCCACACUGGAGCUGACACCCGGUCCACACUCCUACGGGAGGCCGCAGUGGGGAAUAUUGCACAAUGGGGGAAACCCUGAUGCACCCGUGCCGCGUGUGUGAAGAAGGCCUUCGGGUUGUAAAGCACUUUCAGCGAGGAGGAAAGGUUGG